rnacentral:lncRNA from 1 species
CCCGGCCCCGCCCGCCCCGGGGCCCCGCGCCAGGUGCAUUCCCGGGCACGCUCCGCCGCUACCGGCGCGCCGCGAUGGAGCCGCACCGGGAGCGGCGCCGGGCGCUGCUGCUGCUGCUGCUGCCGGUGCUGCUGCUCCGCGCCCCCGCGCCCGGCUCCGCGCAGGCAGGUGAGCACCGGCACCGGCACCGGCACCGGCACCGGUACCGGCACCGGCACCGGCACCGGCACCGGCGGGGCGCGGGGGAAGCGGGGCUGCGCCGCGGCAGCGGGCAAAGGGGAACCGGCAGAACACCGGAGCGCUCGGGGGCCGCGGCGGUGCUGCCGCCCCGAUUCCGCCGGUACCGGACCCCGAUCCGAUCCCGGUGAUUCCCGCGGGUGUUUCCGCAGCGGGGGCGUCCCGGGAUCCCCCGGGGGAACCGCACGGCUCCGGGGGCACCGGGACCGGCACUGAAACUCCCCGGGACUGCGGCUCCGGCGGGGCCGGGGCUCGGUGGCCGCUCCCGGGCUCGGUCCCGGAGCUUGGUGCCCCUUUCCGGGACUCGGUCCCGGGCUGGGUGGCCGCUCCCGGGGCUCGAUGCCCAUUCUCGGGGUUCAGUCCCGGUCUCGGUGCCCCUUUCCGGGAUCCUCCCGUGCUCGGUUCCCCCUCUCGGGAUCCGUCCCGUGCUCGGUUCCUCCUCCCGGGGUCGAUCCCGUUCUCGGUGCCCUAUCCCGGAUUCGGUCCCGGGGCUCGGUGCCCGUUCUCAGGGCUCGGUCCCGCUCUCGGUGCCCCUCCCGGGGCUCGGAGCCCCCUCCCGGAUCCUGUNNNNNNNNNNGUCCGGCUCUCGGUGCCCCUCCCGGGGCUCGGAGCCCCCUCCCGGAUUCUGUCCAGCUCUCGGAGCCCCCUCCCGGGCUCGGCACCUGCGGCCCCGCAGCUGCCCGCGCUAAUUUUAGGCUGCGGGGCCGAGCCCGGCGAUGCUUCUGAGAUCCGGGCGGGGACCCCCGAGGGGGGACGGGGGGGAUCCUCCAAGGGGGGACCCCCGGAGGAGCCCCCGGCCCUGCCCGCGAGGCCGCCCCGCACCCCCGGCACCCCGGAAGGGCCG